UACAGAGGGGGCAAGCGUUGUUCGGAAUUACUGGGCGUAAAGGGCGCGUAGGCGGCCUUUCUAAGUCGAACGUGAAAUCCCCGGGCUCAACCCGGGAACUGCGUCCGAUACUGGAAGGCUUGAAUCCGGGAGAGGGAUGCGGAAUUCCAGGUGUAGCGGUGAAAUGCGUAGAUAUCUGGAGGAACACCGGUGGCGAAGGCGGC
rnacentral:rRNA from 1 species